rnacentral:rRNA from 1 species
GCUUAGCAUGAAGUGAAGCACAUACACCUGCUGAAUUUAAGCAUAUAAGUAAGUGGUGGAAAUUAAACCAAAUGGGAUAUCUUUAGUAAUUGCGAAUGAACAAGGAUAUGCUUAGCUUGACAAAUGGAGCUAUUGGCUUUGAAUUGUAUUGUGGAAAUGUAUUACCAACAGAGGUGCAGGUGCCAGCCUAUUGAAAUAAAGCGUCAAUGAGGGUGAGAAUCCUGUUUGUCAUGUGCAGCCCUUUGUGCACGGUGUAUAUUUGCUGAGUCACACUCCUUGGCAUUGGAAUGCAAAGUGGGUGGUAAGUUUCAUGUAAAGGUAAACAUGCAAUUGAGACUGAUAGCACACAAGUACCAUGAGGGAAAUAUGAAAAGGACUUUGAAAAGAGAAUUAAAUGAGUUUGUAUUUGCUGAACACAAAGUAAACAGACUUGAUUUGCUUGGUGGGAGUGUUGCACUUGCUUGACAAGAGCUUUGGGCUGUGGGUGUAAUGAUUCUUUCUUUGCAUGCCAGUUUCUAUUUGUACAUCUGAUUACCUUUGCACAUGAAUGAUAAGUCUCCUGUGGGGGGUGGAUUGCAUGUGCAUGUAAUGAUUUGUGUUUUGAUACAUGUGUCUGGUGUAUGUGUGUGUGUUCCUGUGCUUGGGGAUGCUUCCUUCCUUGGACUUACAAGCCCUGACACACACAUGCUGGCAAAAUGCUUCUGCUUGACCCGUCUUGAAACACGGACCAAGGAGUCUAACAGAUGUGCAAAGUUUGAAGGUGGUAUACCUUUGUGUGCAAUGAAAGUGUCAGCUGGGAUAUGUGCACCAGCACCCAAUUAAUUAGCGGACAGAGGUUUGAGUUGGA